rnacentral:rRNA from 2 species
UCAUGGCUCAGGAUGAACGCUGGCGGCGUGCCUAAUACAUGCAAGUCGAACGAGUUCUCGUUGAUGAUCGGUGCUUGCACCGAGAUUCAACAUGGAACGAGUGGCGGACGGGUGAGUAACACGUGGGUAACCUGCCCUUAAGUGGGGGAUAACAUUUGGAAACAGAUGCUAAUACCGCAUAGAUCCAAGAACCGCAUGGUUCUUGGCUGAAAGAUGGCGUAAGCUAUCGCUUUUGGAUGGACCCGCGGCGUAUUAGCUAGUUGGUGAGGUAAUGGCUCACCAAGGCGAUGAUACGUAGCCGAACUGAGAGGUUGAUCGGCCACAUUGGGACUGAGACACGGCCCAAACUCCUACGGGAGGCAGCAGUAGGGAAUCUUCCACAAUGGACGCAAGUCUGAUGGAGCAACGCCGCGUGAGUGAAGAAGGCUUUCGGGUCGUAAAACUCUGUUGUUGGAGAAGAAUGGUCGGCAGAGUAACUGUUGUCGGCGUGACGGUAUCCAACCAGAAAGCCACGGCUAACUACGUGCCAGCAGCCGCGGUAAUACGUAGGUGGCAAGCGUUAUCCGGAUUUAUUGGGCGUAAAGCGAGCGCAGGCGGUUUUUUAAGUCUGAUGUGAAAGCCCUCGGCUUAACCGAGGAAGCGCAUCGGAAACUGGGAAAC